rnacentral:rRNA from 1 species
AAAAUCAAUAGUUUUUUAAUUGGAAACUGGAAUGAAAGAGUGAAUGAAAUAUAAAUUGUCUCAAGAUGACAAAUUGAAUUUAAAUUAAAAGUAAAAAUGCUUUUGUUUAAUUAUUAGACGAGAAGACCCUAUAGAAUUUAAUAAAAUUUAUUUUUUAAAUAUAUUAUGUUAUAAUUAUUUAUUAAAUAUUUAUAUUUUAUUGGGAGGAUAUUUAAAUUUAUUUAACUUUAAUUAAAAUAAACAUUAAUUAAUGAAAGUUAUUGAUUAUUAUUAUAAUUAUUAGAAUAAAUUACCUUA